rnacentral:rRNA from 1 species
GACAGAGGGUGCUAGCGUUGUUCGGAAUUACUGGGCGUAAAGGGCGCGUAGGCGGCUCGUUUAGUCGGGUGUGAAAUCCCGGGGCUCAACCCCGGAACUGCAUUCGAUACUGGCGGGCUAGAGACCGGAAGAGGUGGGUGGAAUACCCAGUGUAGAGGUGAAAUUCGUAGAUAUUGGGUGGAACACCGGUGGCGAAGGCGGCUCACUGGUCCGGUACUGACGCUGAGGUGCGAAAGCGUGGGGAGCAAACAGG